UUUCAGUGCUUUUCAAAGUUCACAAGAAAAAAACUACAAUUAACAAUCAAAUUAAGUUUGAUCAGCUCAAAUAAAAUGAAAAGACUGUCACCUGAAUACAUUCUAAAGCUGUGUAUCAUCUGUGUUUUUUGCCUAAGAAUAGGGAGAGUGAAUCAUUAGGACUGUGAGAUUUUACUGAGCAUGCCUCAUGCAUUUGUCCUUGAUGCUGUAUUUCAAUGUCCAAGGCAAACUGAGGCCCAGGUUGGGGGUGGUGGUGGUGCCAAGUUCAGCUUUACAUAUGUGUGAUUCAGGACAGAGGCUAAUGCAGCUGAGGCUUUGAAGUGGGGCUUUGUGAGCGUGACUAAGCAAUGAAGCCCGCUAAUCCAUUGUGAUUAAUGCAAUAAAUUGCCCAGUUUUCUCCAGAUUGUGUAGAAGAUGAGGUGAUGGUGAAGGUGAAGGCUGUGUGGUCUUCAAAUCAGUGGCACUUUUCACCUCAUAGAACAUCAUAAUAAAUCUAUAGCUGAAAUCUGAAAUAUUUCAUACAUAAAAUAUAGAAGCGUCCAUUUUAUUUAAAAAAUGCAAAUGUUUAGUAUUCUUUUCAGUCACAAAUAAAUAAUGAUUUUACAGCACAAUUUUCUUCAUUUUUAAUGUCCACAGAUUAAAAAAAUAUAUAUAGACCUGAUCCUGAUUUCUAUGUCAGAAGCUAGGAUGACAUACAAUGAUAUUAUAAACUAAUAAAUAACCAAUUAUAACAACUGGUUAUACACUGAGACCAAAGAAAGUUUAAUUACAGUUGAAAAGAACCAAUUUAUGUAGCUGUUAACAUACACAGAGAGUUAUUCAUCAAAUAUAAAAUCUACAAAAAUAUACUCAUUAUAGUUAGUUCAUGUAUUUUGCUUAGGAGAGCUAGUAUGCAUGCUUUAUUGUUUUACAUUCGUUACACUAAAACUAUCUAAACAGAGGAAAAUGCCAAAAAUAGCCAACAUGAUUUACUCUUAACAGGAUGAAGACAGUCUUUUAUGGUUUGAAGAGAGCACUGCCUCCAGUUUUUGCUGCAUGCGCAUGCAGGGAGUUGCAGGGAUCCUGGAAUGCUCCCAUACUCCCUGGCUGCGUGCAACGUUAAGAGCAGAUGAGCUUUCUCCGUCAACCCCUCAGUGGAAUCUGCUGUCACUUCAACCAGCUUGCUUCAUCGCUAUGAACACUUAUGUAAACACAGAGCCACCACUGCCAAGCACCGCUGCUGACAGACACCACUGAGGAAUCACGCAGAGCACCAAAGUGGAAAACCCCCCCCCCAAAAACAGACAAGAUCGAUUAUUCCAUCUACUUUCCAAGCGGAAAGAUAGGAGAUAGGGAAGGAAUGUCUUCAGCCUCUGCAGCUUGUUUUUGUUUGGAAUACUCACCUCAUGCUAUCAGCAGUUCUACCAAAUGCCCCAUCCUUUAGUACCUUUAUGCCUUCUUCCUGCAGCAGGACACCAACUGUCACAGGCCAGUUGGCGUCGACUAAUGCUUGGCAGUGGCAUUAGUCAGAGUCAAGCUGACACAGGUGGCUACUGUUUCACAUGCUGGCAAAACAGGCUUUAAUCAUCAACAGCGUGUGUGCAAGAUGCUUUUACAUUGCAGUAAAUCUACAGUAACCAUGACUUUUUACUAGAGCAUUUUGCUGCAUACAUCAAGAUAACAAUGUUAGCUUUGAUGUGGAUAUAUAUUUAAGACCCAAUAGCAAUCCACACUUUUGAGGCUGCAACAGGAAGAGGAUCCUCUGCCAAAACAAACAUGCGGCUCUACCUGCAGUCGGGACCCCUUGGGAAUAAGGAAGCAGCUGAAAGCAGCAUAUUACAGGGGAAAUAUAUAAGAGGCUAUUUUCAUAAUCAAUUAAUAGCUGACAUUAAAUUUCAAUCGGACUUACUAAACUUAGCUGCAGUUUUGUCACAUUAGUAUUCUAAAUUUCUUUAGGGUGUUUUAGGGCAUCCAUACAUCCAUCACAUAUUGCUUUCUAUAUUUAUGCUUUUUAUAAAGCGUUAAUACAUUACAUUUUCUAUGAAAAGGUUUGAUACGCACCUGCAAACACAUUUUUUCUCAGCUUUAACAAGUCUUUGACUCAUGCUUUAUCUUUCCCUUUAAGUUAGAGGAAAUAUCGAAACAACAAAUCCUGCCAGUAAAUACACUCCUCAUAUGCAUGUCAGAACAACCAGACAAGCACUACUUACGUACGCGCCAAUAAAUCACUUUCACAACCGCAAACUUGGUUAUGCUGCCCAAAUACCAGAACCACUGCUUUUCUCCAGCUUCCUCUUGCUAAUCUGUGGAUGGGAGCGGCACACUGGGGCCCUGGUCCAGAGUUAAUUAGGAGCUGAGGGAGGAUCUCCCCCUCCUCACUACCACGAAAGGCGGCCAGUUGGAUCCAGUUUCAGAUUAGACUCCCAGGAUGAACAUGCAUCCACAUGCAUAAACACAAACAUCCAUACAUGGGCACAAGCAAAAAUGCACUUCAAAAAAAA